CAUGGAGACCAACAAUGAGGCAAGUGACAGCUACAACACAAAAUAAACAACAUCCAACGAGUCAACAAGUUUUGGGAUUGAGGAUGCGGUUAAUGGAAGGCAUCCACAACAAAAUUUGCUGUUUAUUGAGAUAUACUCUCAAUAAAAAGCAAAAAAAACAAGGAUUCUGGAUGCCUGGGAAAUGGAAUGGGAUUCGGAUGAAGGCGAGGAACUGGAGGUACAAGGGAUGCUGAGAUGGAUUAAGGGAGUUUUCUGAUAAUUGUGGGGAAAAACCCACGAUUUAGGCCGGGCAAACUUUUGUACUACCAUUAAGUAGAGUUAGAAGGUCAAUGACCCUAACAAUAACCAGCGUAGGUUGCCGACCUACCUCAACGUUAGUCAAAGGCAA